CUACGGGACGCUGCAGUGAGGAAUUUUGCGCAAUGGGGGUAACCCUGACGCAGCAACGCCGCGUGAGUGAUGAAGGCUUUCGGGUCGUAAAGCUCUGUCAAGUGGGAAGAAUAUACGAAAUGCUAAUACCAUUUUGUACUGACGGUACCACUGAAGGAAGCACCGGCUAACUCCGUGCCAGCAGCCGCGGUAAUACGGGGGGUGCAAGCGUUAUUCGGAAUUAUUGGGCGUAAAGAGCACGUAGGCGGCCGCUUAAGUCAGAUGUGAAAGCCCGGGGCUCAACCCCGGAAGUGCAUUUGAAACUAAGUGGCUUGAGUAUGGGAGAGGGAAGUGGAAUUCCUGGUGCAGAGGUGACAUUCGUAGAUAUCAGGAGGAACACCGGUGGCGAAGGCGACUUCCUGGACCAAUACUGACGCUGAGGUGCGAAGGCGUGGGGAGCAAACAGGAUUAGAUACCCGCGUAGUC
rnacentral:rRNA from 1 species